rnacentral:tRNA from 1 species
GGUCGGUUAGCUCAGUCGGCAGAGCGUCGUGCUAAUAACGCGAAUGUCAUGGGUUCGAGCCCCAUAUCGAUCA